rnacentral:rRNA from 1 species
AACGAACGCUGGCGGCAUGCCUAACACAUGCAAGUCGAACGAGACCUUCGGGUCUAGUGGCGCACGGGUGCGUAACGCGUGGGAAUCUACCCUUAGGUUCGGAAUAACUCAGGGAAACUUGAGCUAAUACCGGAUGAUGACUUCGGUCCAAAGAUUUAUCGCCUAAGGAUGAGCCCGCGUAGGAUUAGCUAGUUGGUGAGGUAAAGGCUCACCAAGGCUACGAUCCUUAGCUGGCUGAGAGGAUGAUCAGCCACACUGGGACUGAGACACGGCCCAGACUCCUACGGGAGGCAGCAGUGGGGAAUAUUGGACAAUGGGCGAAAGCCUGAUCCAGCAAUGCCGCGUGAGUGAUGAAGGCCUUAGGGUUGUAAAGCUCUUUUACCCGGGAUGAUAAUGACAGUACCGGGAGAAUAAGCUCCGGCUAACUCCGUGCCAGCAGCCGCCGUAAU